rnacentral:rRNA from 1 species
ACUACUGAAGGGCGCCUACGCCUACCUCGAAGAAUUAGUCGACCUACCUAAACUACUCGAACCGUUCCAUCUGACUGUAGUAGUUCAUAAAAAGAAGAGAUCUACGGAAAUACGGUAUAUACGUUUCCUAACCUAAGUUAGCUUCAAUAAACGAACGGACUUACAUACACACUAUACGUGAGAUCGAAAGGACCGAGGACCAAUUUCAUACCGUCAGAGCUCUGCUCAAAAUGUCUAAUUCAAAUAACAAGUAGAAAAUGUCUACCUUAUUUUUAACUCCUGAACUAACAACUGUACGGUUGUCUUCACGGAUUAAGAGACUAUCCGAAACCAAGAAUACUAUGAAAGAAUGACCCGAACAAAAUAAAAUAAAACCCUUUUGGGUACUAAAAUAGGAUUGGGCUUUAACGACUCCAUCCUAUUCUCAUUACCCUUAGGUUCGGGUUAAGAGGUAAAGUUACAUGUGUUUUAAUGACUACGUAGAGGUAAAGUUACAUGUGUUUUAAGUCAACCUCAUCUGAGGUUUAGAUGUUUAGUAAGAAGGAUGUUUUUCAUCUUUGUCUCGGAUAGCUGUGUUGGUCUUGUGAGAAAAUUGAGAAUUUGAAUCGUUCGUCAUUGAUAGGUCUCAUCAAGAAGUCUCGAGAUAGCUGUGUUGGUCUCAUCAAGAAAUCUCGAGAUAAGUCGGACUGUAGUUUCCCUCAGUUCAUAGCGAAGUCGAAAGAUAGGACGUUGUCUAUUAAUUUCUAACAGUCUUCCAACUUCCACCUUAGCUUGAGGCUCGAGCUCCGGCGACGCCAAAUCACCACUGACCAGCGCGGGCUAGAUCCAUUUUAGAAGCAGACUAAAAACCAGGUGUGCUGCUACUAGACAAAAAAGCCCUCAAAGAAGUCCUAGGCGAGCACACGGUCUCGGCCGAGUCCUACGGAAGGACCUGCUACUGCUUUGUUCGAACUUCGCUCACCUCGCGGCUUCCUCCUAGAGCCCCUACUUCCUCCGUAGCCGCUGCUGGAGUCUUUUCUCGCCGUCCCCCGGCGCGGGCACGACCACGACAGCGACUGCGAGGUGAGGUGAACCUGCCGUCGUUAACCCUCGACGGAAUCGCAUGAUGCACAACCUCCUGUUGCCGCACGUCCAGUACACGGACCACGAUCUGUACUACCGGCCCUGGUUUGGCAGUAGGCGUUGAUGAUCGUCGUCUUGUGUCUUCAGCAGAUACUGGAACUGUCCUGUACGACCGGAAACACAGCCGCGUCACGCUGUUCGAGCGUCGUAGUGAUAUCACAAAAACAUCUCUCUAUCUUAAACAUCAUGGCUAGUCCACUUUACGCGGUUACACCGUUACCAUGACUUGACUUCGUUGCCAGAAAAAAUUACUUUACACGAGAGCUAACAUUUCGAUCGGUUUUUCCCGACGACCUACUCGUAACAGGAUGGACCGUGGCGGGUCAGUGGGAAGUCCGCCGCGCGGGGUAAGUGAUCAGGUGAUCAUA